rnacentral:rRNA from 1 species
GACGAACGCUGGCGGCGUGCUUAACACAUGCAAGUCGAACGCUGAAGCCCUGGCUUUUGUUGGGUUGGAUGAGUGGCGAACGGGUGAGUAACACGUGAGUAACCUGCCCUCUUCUUUGGGAUAACGCCCGGAAACGGGUGCUAAUACUGGAUAUUCACUGGCCUUCGCAUGGGGGUUGGUGGAAAGGUUUGUUCUGGUGGGGGAUGGGCUCGCGGCCUAUCAGCUUGUUGGUGGGGUGAUGGCCUACCAAGGCUUUGACGGGUAGCCGGCCUGAGAGGGUGACCGGUCACAUUGGGACUGCGAUACGGCCCAGACUCCUACGGGAGGCAGCAGUGGGGAAUAUUGCACAAUGGGCGAAAGCCUGAUGCAGCGACGCCGCGUGAGGGAUGGAGGCCUUCGGGUUGUAAACCUCUUUCGCUCAUGGUCAAGCCGCAACUGUGGGUUGUGGUGAGGGUAGUGGGUAAAGAAGCGCCGGCUAACUACGUG